rnacentral:rRNA from 1 species
GAUGAACGCUGGCGGCGUGCCUAAUACAUGCAAGUCGAGCGCACAGACGAGGAGCUUGCUCCUCUGACGUUAGCGGCGGACGGGUGAGUAACACGUGGAUAACCUACCUAUAAGACUGGGAUAACUUCGGGAAACCGGAGCUAAUACCGGAUAAUAUAUUGAACCGCAUGGUUCAAUAGUGAAAGACGGUUUUGCUGUCACUUAUAGAUGGAUCCGCGCCGCAUUAGCUAGUUGGUAAGGUAACGGCUUACCAAGGCAACGAUGCGUAGCCGACCUGAGAGGGUGAUCGGCCACACUGGAACUGAGACACGGUCCAGACUCCUACGGGAGGCAGCAGUAGGGAAUCGUCCGCAAUGGGCGAAAGCCUGACGGAGCAACGCCGCGUGGGUGAUGAAGGUCUUCGGAUCGUAAAACACUGUGAUUAGGGAAGAACAAAUGUGUAAGUAACUAGGCACGUCUUGACGGUACCUAAUCAGAAAGCCACGGCUAACUACGUG